rnacentral:rRNA from 1 species
AUUGAACGCUGGCGGAAUGCUUUACACAUGCAAGUCGAACGGCAGCACGGGGGCAGCCCUGGUGGCGAGUGGCGAACGGGUGAGUAAUACAUCGGAACGUGCCCGGUCGUGGGGGAUAACGUAGCGAAAGUUACGCUAAUACCGCAUACGAUCUGAGGAUGAAAGCGGGGGACCUUCGGGCCUCGCGCGAUCGGAGCGGCCGAUGUCAGAUUAGGUAGUUGGUGGGGUAAAGGCCUACCAAGCCGACGAUCUGUAGCUGGUUUGAGAGGACGACCAGCCACACUGGGACUGAGACACGGCCCAGACUCCUACGGGAGGCAGCAGUGGGGAAUUUUGGACAAUGGGCGCAAGCCUGAUCCAGCCAUUCCGCGUGCAGGACGAAGGCCUUCGGGUUGUAAACUGCUUUUGUACGGAACGAAAAGGCUCUGGCUAAUACCUGGGGCUCAUGACGGUACCGUAAGAAUAAGCACCGGCUAACUACGUG